UACGUAGGGUGCGAGCGUUAAUCGGAAUUACUGGGCGUAAAGCGUGCGCAGGCGGUUCGUUGUGUCGGCGGUGAAAGCCCCGGGCUCAACCUGGGAAUGGCCGUUGAAACUGGCGAACUGGAGUGUGGCAGAGGGGGUGGAAUUCCGCGUGUAGCAGUGAAAUGCGUAGAGAUGCGGAGGAACACCGAUGGCGAAGGCAGCCCCCUGGGCUGACACUGACGCUCAGGCACGAAGGCGUGGGGAGCAAACAGG
rnacentral:rRNA from 1 species